GCUGGCGGCACGCCUAACACAUGCAAGUCGAACGCAGUAGCAAUACUGAGUGGCAAACGGGUGAGUAUAAUGUGGGAAUCUGCCUUUUGGUUUGGAAUAACACGGGGAAACUUGUGCUAAUACCGGAUAAGCCCUUACGGGGAAAGUUUUAACGCCGAAAGAUGAGCCCGCACUUGAUUAGCUAGUUGGUAAGGUAAAAGCUUACCAAGGCAACGAUCAAUAGCUGUUCUUAGAGGAAGACCAGCCACAUUGGGACUGAGACACGGCCCAGACUCCUACGGGAGGCAGCAGUGGGGAAUCUUGCACAAUGGGGGAAACCCUGAUGCAGCGAUGCCGCGUGAGUGAAGAAGGCCCUUGGGUUGUAAAACUCUUUCGUCGGGGAAGAAAAUGACUGUACCCGAAUAAGAAGGUCCGGCUAACUUCGUGCCAGCAGCCGCGGUAAUACGAAGGGACCUAGCGUAGUUCGGAAUUACUGGGCUUAAAGAGCUCGUAGGUGGUUAAAAAAGUUGAUGGUGAAAUCCCAAGGCUCAACCUUGGAACUGCCAUCAAAACUUUUUAGCUAGAGUGUGAUAGAGGUAAGUGGAAUUUCUAGUGUAGAGGUGAAAUUCGUAGAUAUUAGAAAGAACACCAAAUGCGAAGGCAACUUACUGGGUCACUACUGACACUGAGGAGCGAAAGCAUGGGUAGCGAAGAGGAUUAGAUACCCUCGUAGUCCAUGCCGUAAACGAUGUGUGCUAGACGUUGGAAAUAUAUUUUUCAGUGUCGCAGCGAAAGCAUUAAGCACACCGCCUGGGGAGUACGACC
rnacentral:rRNA from 1 species